CAGCAGCCGCGGGAAUACGUAGGGUCCGAGCGUUGUCCGGAAUUAUUGGGCGUAAAGAGCUCGUAGGCGGUCUGUCGCGUCUGCCGUGAAAUCCUCAGGCUCAACCUGAGGCGUGCGGUGGGUACGGGCAGGCUAGAGUGCGGUAGGGGAGAAUGGAACUCCUGGUGUAGCGGUGGAAUGCGCAGAUAUCAGGAAGAACACCGAUGGCGAAGGCAGUUCUCUGGGCCGUAACUGACGCUGAGGAGCGAAAGCGUGGGGAGCGAACAGGAUUAGAUACCCGGGUAGUCCCUGUCUCUUAUAC
rnacentral:rRNA from 1 species